GUGCUCACUUCAGCAGCACAUAUACUAAAACUGGAAUGAUACAGAGAGGAUUAGCAUGGCCCCUGCACAAAUUCAUGAAGCGUUACAUAUUUUU
rnacentral:snRNA from 1 species